ensembl:lncRNA
GGCUUUCUCCCCACCUUUAGCCUCUGAAGCCACUGGAUGCAGGGUUGCACACAUACACAUCGCCACAGGAUCCCAUUCUGAUGCCGUAGCGGAUCGCUGGGGUCAAAACGUUGAUGUCUUCUCAACAACUGUCCAAUGUCGUACCAGAAGCUUUGAAUGACGCUGUCGCUCAAGCAUAGAAGCAUUCCAAAGACACAGCCAUGUAUAAGUCAAUCAAACACAAUAAGUGGGCUCAAAUGUUUGUUUUGAACAAAGUAUCAGUGUGUUUUUAAGAAACCUAAAUGGACAUAGGCCUAAACACUUUGAUACAACAUUGAAGUUUUGUCCAUAGCAGUCAGCGACAAUCUUUUAUUCAAUAUGCUUUUAAGAGCCCGUCCUGCCAAGGGAUUCAAGAUGUGACAAACUGUUGUGUAGUGAGGGGAAACAUCUCAGCAGUAUCAGAAGUAGACCAAAGAGGGCUAAAUAAUUGUUAUUAUGUUGAAACGUGGAAAGAUUUGCAAAAUUUGUCAAGGAAGAGGUCAGAUAAAGACCAUGGUUGUACAAAUAGCACACCUGUUUCUGAUGUAGAUGAUUAUGUUGCAUAGGCUAACAGCUGCUAAUGCUUUGGUGUUGAGUGGUUGCAGGUCCACUAUAUAAAGAGAUAGCAGAGGUCCAGUGCAACAGUGCUUUCGAUCCGGUCUAGCCUCAACCAACCUGUCUGGGAAAUACUUUGAAUAGAGUGUGCUGCUUCUACUGUACUAGCCAUGGCUGUUGGGUGCAUUCUCAGAGUGUCAUGGAUUUAUUUGUUGCUGUUGGGUGGCUGUCUUCCUUUCCCACAACUGAACGGGUACAUGUCUACAUCCAAGACUGACCAACCGAACAUUAGGGGUGCUAAAGAUGGCAAGCUAGAUACUUCUCCAUCUGGAAUGUCGGAUGCAUAUGGCAGACUAAAAGGAUAUUUAGACCAACGCAAGAAAGUCCCACUAGCUGCAGCUCAGAUGACCAGCGGCGAUAAGACGGUUUCCAACAGCAUUUCGGGUAACCGGGACCAGGCUGCUCCUGUUGAAACCCCGGCCUAUCCCUGCGAUGGGGCUGAUUUGACCAUGGACUCUACUUCAUGUAAAGAUGCUGCACAACCAGUUCUCCAGCCAAUGAUGGUUCCUUUUGAGCAGCCCAGUGCUCAGAGGCCACAGGAGGUGAGCGAACCGCUUGCAUCGACCUACCUUGUCCAAGCCAAUGGUGGAUAUGGUCGAGGCAGCCUGGUGUUCUCCAUGAAGAAAUACUUCAGCGGUUUCCCUCCACCACCCGCAUCCGUGCUUAUGGCGAUGAAGCCUAAAUCUGAGACCGUAAGAGGUAAAUGGUGACCACUUGGCCAUCAAUCGUAGUGUUGUUCAUGCUUGUGCGUGGCUUCACUGACCAGCAGUAAUUGGCUUUCCUUUUUCAGCACAAGUUUGUAACCUGAAUAAACUAAAUGUUACUUUUUAAACUUGACUUUCGUAUUCAUCAUUUGUAGCAUGGCUGCAGCCUGCAGACCUUGCUAUUCGACUCGACAGUCAUUGACACUAUUCUGAAAAAGCUGAACUACCAUCG